GAACGGUAGCACAGAGAGCUUGCUCUUGGGUGACGAGUGGCGGACGGGUGAGUAAUGUCUGGGAAACUACCCGAUGGAGGGGGAUAACUACUGGAAACGGUAGCUAAUACCGCAUAACGUCUUCGGACCAAAGUGGGGGACCUUCGGGCCUCACACCAUCGGAUGUGCCCAGAUGGGAUUAGCUGGUAGGUGGGGUAACGGCUCACCUAGGCGACGAUCCCUAGCUGGUCUGAGAGGAUGACCAGCCACACUGGAACUGAGACACGGUCCAGACUCCUACGGGAGGCAGCAGUGGGGAAUAUUGCACAAUGGGCGCAAGCCUGAUGCAGCCAUGCCGCGUGUAUGAAGAAGGCCUUCGGGUUGUAAAGUACUUUCAGUGGGGAGGAAGGCGAUGGAGUUAAUAGCUUCGUCGAUUGACGUUACCCGCAGAAGAAGCACCGGCUAACUCCGUG
rnacentral:rRNA from 1 species